UGGCAGUGAGCUGGGCAGGGAGGAAGGGGU
rnacentral:piRNA from 1 species